ensembl:ncRNA F11D5.12 ncRNA
AAAAAAGUUCGAAAGAAGACGAUUCAGAAGCAUUGAACUCACUCAAACUGUACAAAGCUAUGGUUUUUGCACCAAGGAAAAGUGGGUGGCCAGAAAGUGGUGGGGGGGGGAAGAGGGCAGCCUUCGCGCAAGCAUAGCAAUGAAGAAUAGAGGGGCGGAGUCUUGGCGGGAGGGGUGGCGGUCUGUGUGGAUCGGCGGU